rnacentral:rRNA from 1 species
UAAGACGAGGGCCCCAAGCGUUAAUCGGAAUCACUGGGCUUAAAGGGUGCGUAGGCGGACUCGCAAGCGUCUUGUGAAAUCCCUCGGCUCAACCGGGGAAUUGCUGGGCGAACUGCGAGUCUUGAGGGAGCUAGAGGAUGUCGGAACGUUCGGUGGAGCGGUGAAAUGCGUAGAGAUCGAACGGAACGCCGAAGGCGAAGGCAGGCAUCUGGGGCUCUCCUGACGCUCAGGCACGAAAGCGUGGGGAUCAAACAGGAUUAGAUACCCUGGUAGUCCACGCCGUAAACGAUGUGCACUUGACCGAUGCGGCUCUGACGCCGUGUUGGUCGGAGAGAAAUUGUUAAGUGCACCGCCUGGGGAGUACGGUCGCAAGGCUA